rnacentral:tRNA from 1 species
AAAGGGAGACCUAAUUCGGGUAUAAGACGAAAAAAUAGUAGUCGAAACCAAGAAUCAAACCCAAAAGGUCGGAACGAGGUAUGUGGCUUUCAAACUAGGUUCUGGGUUCAUAAAAGACCUGAAUCAGGAACAAGGGCUAUUAGCUCAGGUGGUUAGAGCGCACCCCUGAUAAGGGUGAGGUCCCUGGUUCGAGUCCAGGAUGGCCCACCUGCACAGGUGGCAAAAACAAGAGAAGCGAGGAAUCAGCACCUUAUCCUAAUUUAUAUAUAGGAGAGAAUGCUGGCUCUGAGUAAAGAGUCCAGAGGAACCUUGAAAACUGCAUAGAGCUAGGUGAAAAAGCCAAAAAAGAAGACCGCAAG